rnacentral:rRNA from 1 species
AUUGAACGCUGGCGGCAGGCCUAACACAUGCAAGUCGAACGGUAACAGGAAGAAGCUUGCUUCUUUGCUGACGAGUGGCGGACGGGUGAGUAAUGUCUGGGAAACUGCCUGAUGGAGGGGGAUAACUACUGGAAACGGUAGCUAAUACCGCAUAACGUCGCAAGACCAAAAAGGGGGACCUUCGGGCCUCUUGCCAUCGGAUGUGCCCAGAUGGGAUUAGCUAGUAGGUGGGGUAACGGCUCACCUAGGCGACGAUCCCUAGCUGGUCUGAGAGGAUGACCAGCCACACUGGAACUGAGACACGGUCCAGACUCCUACGGGAGGCAGCAGUGGGGAAUAUUGGACAAUGGGCGCAAGCCUGAUGCAGCCAUGCCGCGUGGAUGAAGAAGGCCUUCGGGUUGUAAAGUACUUUCAGCGGGGAGGAAGGGAGUAAAGUUAAUACCUUUGCUCAUUGACGUUACCCGCAGAAGAAGCACCGGCUAACUCCGUG